UGAUGCGGGGUAACCCAAUUCACAUCUAGCGGCGAACGGGUGAGUAACACGUGAGCAACCUACCUUUGAGUUGGGGAUAGCCCUGCGAAAGCAGGAUUAAUACCCGAUGUGGCCACAACAGGACAUCCUGAUGUGAGUAAAGGCGCAAGCCGCUCAAUGACGGGCUCGCGGCCUAUUAGCUUGUUGGUGGGGUAACGGCCUACCAAGGCGAUGAUGGGUAGCUGGUCUGAGAGGACGAUCAGCCACACUGGGACUGAGACACGGCCCAGACUCCUACGGGAGGCAGCAGUUAGGAAUUUUCCGCAAUGGGCGAAAGCCUGACGGAGCAACGCCGCGUGAGUGAUGAAGGCCUUCGGGUUGUAAAGCUCUGUCGGAGGGGAAGAACACAAUGACGGUACCCUCCAAGAAAGCCCCGGCUA
rnacentral:rRNA from 1 species